GAUACGUGACGUUAGCUUGUUGAUGUUUUCCUGGUAUUACUGUGAUCCGUGACGUUAGCUUGUUGAUGUUUUCUUGGUAUUACUGUGAUCCGUGACGUUAGCUUGUUGGUGUUUUCCUGGUAUUGCUGUGAUACGUGACGGUAGCUUGUUGAUGUUUUCCUGGUAUUGCUGUGAUACGUGACGGUAGCUUGUUGAUGUUUUCCUGGUAUUGCUGUGAUCCGUGACGUUAGCUUGUUGAUGUUUUCCUGGUGUUACUGUGAUCCGUGACGUUAGCUUGUUGGUGUUUUCCUGGUAUUACUGUGAUACGUGACGUUAGCUUGUUGGUGUUUUCCUGGUAUUACUGUGAUACGUGACGUUAGCUUGUUGGUGUUUUCCUGGUAUUACUGUGAUACGUGACGUUAGCUUGUUGAUGUUUUCCUGGUAUUGCUGUGAUACGUGACGUUAGCUUGUUGAUGUUUUCCUGGUAUUACUGUGAUACGUGACGUUAGCUUGUUGGUGUUUUCCUGGUAUUACUGUGAUACGUGACGUUAGCUUGUUGGUGUUUUCCUGGUGUUACUGUGAUUCGUGACGUUAGCUUGUUGAUGUUUUCCUGGUGUUACUGUGAUUCGUGACGUUAGCUUGUUGAUGUUUUCCUGGUGUUACUGUGAUCCGUGACGUUAGCUUGUUGGUGUUUUCCUGGUGUUACUGUGAUCCGUGACGUUUCUUUUAGGAAACGGACAUUGGCUCUCAGUGCAAUCUUUCCCUGACGGAACAGCUUCCCGAAGACAAGGCAACAUGUUCUGUUGCGGAGAGAGGAUUUACUAGGAACAGGUCCUUGUUUCAGAUACAAAGUGAAACCAUUAAUCACGUUCGUCAGUGCAACGGUAAGCCACCCACCCUUGGGGUGAAACCAAACACCUUGCAGCCUGUUAAGACAUUAAGCCCCCAAAAUUCCAUCAAGUGCUUCUCCUCAUCUUCCCAAACCUUUCGUGAAGCUAUUCCAUUUACCAUUCAUUCAUCCUGUAGCCGCCAGGCGUCGCUCACAAGCAGUAUCUUCAGCUCCCCUACUGUUCGGAAGAUCUCUCUGGUAGAAGCCAAAGAUCUGGACGUCAGUGAAAGUGAGGAGGAUAUUGAAGAUGAUGUAGAAUUUAAUGGCAAGCUCUGCUGGUUGGUUGAGCCGGAAGGGUUAUUUAAAG